AGACAUUUACAUAAAUUUUAUUUUGGAAAGACCUAGGCAAAGUGUACAUAAUCAGACUUACAUGGGAGAUAUAUUCCUAACCGGCACAGCAAACAUAACAAAAAUGUAUAUUUAUAUACAACUGAUCAAAGUAGGAAAUAAAAGCAUUAUGAACAAAGAACAUGACGCAAGUCAUUUUCCCCUGAAAAAAGGAGGGAUUGGUGUGAGUUACAGCAAGUCAAAUGAUAGCCACAUUAUAAAAGCAAGCCAUGGCUUCUACAGAUAUUUUAAUUUCUGAGGAGGAAAUUUUUAAACAUCUUUUUUCCCCAGAAACAUAACGAAAUCACUAAUUUUUAUGUGUCCAGGAUGUAAAAUAAAAGGUUUCUCUGCCAUGGGAAAGCACUUGGGAAGUCCAAUCACUUUCAGGGUUGUUUGUGUAUGUGUUCUGUUGUGGUGAUUAUCUUAAGCAUUUCUAAAACAAAGGGCAACACUAUCAGUUACAUCUUCAGAUGUAGAGGGCUUUCAAUCUGGGUCAGGAGACUCAUAGAGCUUGAUAGUUUCUUAGAACUAACCGGUUCUUUAAUGUGUGAGAAACAAUGACUGAGACACUGGUAACCUGCCCAGGGUGAGGCGGCUCCUCGGUGGCAGAGGAGGGACUAGGAACCCAGACCUCUGGACUCCUGACUUGGUGCAUCCCCUUACGGACCAGCAAGACGACCUCAGGAGGAGAUUAUGUGCAUUGGAGACUUCCAAAUGUGAUGCACAUGUUCACCACGGGCACCACUGAGAAUGGGAAGAAACUUCUGGAUUUCUGGAUGUAGACAUCUGUUUCCAGUUUGGGGUAAAUGGUGAUCUAAACUUGCAAAUUAAUAAUGAUUGUAUAUUGUGAUAGGUGCUAAUUUUAUGAGUUACAUACCCUAAGGUUUUAAUUGCAAGGACCCUUGGUAAUAAUAAUGGAACAUUUUAUACAA